GGUGUUGUGCCAGAAAAAUUGGGUUAUCUUGAUGAGGUAAAAUAUAGGAGUAAAUUCCUCGGCACCU
rnacentral:tRNA from 1 species